CGCCGCCGGCCCUGCCUUGCCUGGAGCUGACGGCCCGUCACUGAAAAGCGCCUCAUAUUGUUCCCGGCUGAUGGGCAGUGUCGGGGGUCGGAGCUGUGUGCUCGGCGG
rfam:Myotis davidii contig131782, whole genome shotgun sequence.